UACGUAGGGAGCAAGCGUUGUCCGGAAUCCUUGGGCGUAAAGCGCGCGUAGGUGGCUUCGUAAGUCCGUUGUGAAAGUCAAAGGCUCAACCUUUGAAAGCCGAUGGAUACUGCGGAGCUAGAGUACGGAAGAGGCGAGUGGAAUUCCUGGUGUAGCGGUGGAAUGCGCAGAUAUCAGGAGGAACACCAAUAGCGAAGGCAGCUCGCUGGGACGUUACUGACACUGAGGCGCGAAAGCGUGGGGAGCGAACAGG
rnacentral:rRNA from 1 species